AGAGUUUGAUCAUGGCUCAGGAUUAACGCUGGCGGCGUGCCUAAGGUAUGCAAGUCGAACGAGAAUCCCGCUUCGGCGGGUGGACAGUGGCAGACGGCCGAGUAACGCGUGGGAAUCAACCCUAGACACAGGGAUAGCUCAUCGAAAGGUGGGGUAAAACCUGAUAGUCCCAUACAGUUUUUACUGUAUGGGUAAAACUUCGGUGGUCUAGGACGAGCCCGCGUCCUAUCAGGUUGUUGGUGAGGUAAAUGCUCACCAAGCCUAUGACGGGUAGCUGGUUUGAGAGGACGGACAGCCAGACUGGGACUGUGACACGGCCCAGACUCCUACGGGAGGCAGCAAUUAGGAAUCGUGCGCAAUGGACGGAAGUCUGACGCCGCGACGCCGCGUGGAGGAUGAAUGCCUACGGGUUGUAAACUCCUUUUAUGAGGGAACAAGUUUCUGAGUGUACCUCAUGAAUAAGCACCUGCUAACUACGUGCCAGAAGCAUCGGUAAUACGUAGGGUGCGAGCGUUAUCCGGAAUUAUUGGGCGUAAAGAGACGCGUAGGCGACUCGGUAAGUCUGAUGUUAAAUCUCAAUGCUCAACAUUGAGACUGCAUUAGAUACUGUCGUGAUUGAG
rnacentral:rRNA from 1 species